UACAGAGGUGGCAAGCGUUGUUCGGAAUUACUGGGCGUAAAGGGCGCGUAGGCGGCACGGCAAGUCAGGAGUGAAAGCCCUGGGCUCAACCCGGGAACUGCUUUUGAAACUGCCGAGCUAGAGUGCGGAAGGGGCAACUGGAAUUCCCAGUGUAGCGGUGAAAUGCGUAGAUAUUGGGAAGAACACCUGAGGCGAAGGCGGGUUGCUGGGCCGACACUGACGCUGAUGCGCGAAAGCCAGGGGAGCGAACGGG
rnacentral:rRNA from 1 species